rnacentral:rRNA from 1 species
UACGUAGGGCGCAAGCGUUGUCCGGAAUUAUUGGGCGUAAAGAGCUCGUAGGCGGUUUGUCGCGUCUGCUGUGAAAACUCGAGGCUCAACCUCGGGCUUGCAGUGGGUACGGGCAGACUAGAGUGCGGUAGGGGUGACUGGAAUUCCUGGUGUAGCGGUGGAAUGCGCAGAUAUCAGGAGGAACACCGAUGGCGAAGGCAGGUCACUGGGCCGCAACUGACGCUGGAGGAGCGAAAGCGUGGGGAGCGAACAGG